rnacentral:rRNA from 1 species
ACGAACGCUGGCGGCAUGCCUAACACAUGCAAGUCGAACGGACUUUCUUGAAUAGUUUACUAGGAGAGAAGGUUAGUGGCGGACGGGUGAGUAACGCGUGGGUAACCUGCCCAUAAGACUGGGAUAACACCGGGAAACCGGUGCUAAUACCGGAUACGUUCUUUGAGCCGCAUGGUUUGAAGAAGAAAGGUGGCCUCUCUAUAGAAGCUACCGUUUAUGGAUGGACCCGCGUCUGAUUAGCUAGUUGGUGAGGUAACGGCUCACCAAGGCGACGAUGGGUAACCGGUCUGAGAGGGCGAACGGUCACACUGGAACUGAGACACGGUCCAGACU